rnacentral:rRNA from 1 species
GGUGAGUAACACGUGGGCAAUCUGCCCUUCACUCUGGGACAAGCCCUGGAAACGGGGUCUAAUACCGGAUAACACUCCUGCCUGCAUGGGUGGGGGUUAAAAGCUCCGGCGGUGAAGGAUGAGCCCGCGGCCUAUCAGCUUGUUGGUGGGGUAAUGGCCCACCAAGGCGACGACGGGUAGCCGGCCUGAGAGGGCGACCGGCCACACUGGGACUGAGACACGGCCCAGACUCCUACGGGAGGCAGCAGUGGGGAAUAUUGCACAAUGGGCGAAAGCCUGAUGCAGCGACGCCGCGUGAGGGAUGACGGCCUUCGGGUUGUAAACCUCUUUCAGCAGGGAAGAAGCGAAAGUGACGGUACCUGCAGAAGAAGCGCCGGCUAACUACGUGCCAGCAGCCGCGGUAAUACGUAGGGCGCAAGCGUUGUCCGGAAUUAUUGGGCGUAAAGAGCUCGUAGGCGGCUUGUCACGUCGGAUGUGAAAGCCCGAGGCUUAACCUCGGGUCUGCAUUCGAUACGGGCUAGCUAGAGUGUGGUAGGGGAGAUCGGAAUUCCUGGUGUAGCGGUGAAAUGCGCAGAUAUCAGGAGGAACACCGGUGGCGAAGGCGGAUCUCUGGGCCAUUACUGACGCUGAGGAGCGAAAGCGUGGGGAGCGAACAGGAUUAGAUACCCUGGUAGUCCACGCCGUAAACGUUGGGAACUAGGUGUUGGCGACAUUCCACGUCGUCNGUGCCGCAGCUAACGCAUUAAGUUCCCCGCCUGGGGAGUACGGCCGCAAGGNUAAAACUCAAAGGANUUGANGGGGGCCCGCACAAGCAGCGGANCAUGUGGCUUAAUUCGACGCAACGCGAANAACCUUACCAAGGCUUGACAUA